CCUACGGGUGGCAGCAGUGGGGAAUAUUGCACAAUGGGGGAAACUCUGAUGCAGCGACGCCGCGUGAGUGAAGACGUAUCUCGGAAUGUAAAGCUCUAUCAGCAGGGAAGAAAAUGACGGUACCUGACUAAGAAGCCCCGGCUAACUACGUGCCAGCAGCCGCGGUAAUAAGUAGGGGGCAAGCGUUAUCCGGAUUUACUGGGUGUAAAGGGAGCGUAGGCGGGGCGGGAAGUCCGGAGUUAAAGCCCAUGGGUUAACCAUGGUACUGCUGUGGAAACUGGGGGGCUUGAGUGCGGGAGGGGCAGGCGGAAUUCCUAGUGUAGCGGUGAAAUGCGUAGAUAUUAGGAGGAACACCAGCGGCGAAGGCGGCCUGCUGGACCGUAACUGACGUUGAGGCUCGAAAGCGUGGGGAGCAAACAGGAUUAGAUACCCCAGUAGUC
rnacentral:rRNA from 1 species